GACGAACGCUGGCGGCGUGCCUAAUACAUGCAAGUCGAGCGCAGGAAGCCGACGGAACCCUUCGGGGGGAAGUCGACGGAAUGAGCGGCGGACGGGUGAGUAACACGUAAAGAACCUGCCCUCAGGUCUGGGAUAACCACGAGAAAUCGGGGCUAAUACCGGAUGGGUCAUCGGACCGCAUGGUCCGAGGAUGAAAGGCGCUCCGGCGUCGCCUGGGGAUGGCUUUGCGGUGCAUUAGCUAGUUGGUGGGGUAAUGGCCCACCAAGGCGACGAGGCAUAGGCGACCUAGGAGGGUGGUCGGCCAGAAUGGGACUGAGACACGGCCCAGACUCCUACGGGAGGCAGCAGUAGGGAAUCUUCCACAAUGGACGAAAGUCUGAUGGAGCAACGCCGCGUGAACGAUGAAGGCCUUCGGGUCGUAAAGUUCUGUUGUAAGGGAAGAACAAGUGCCGCAGGCAAUGGCGGCACCUUGACGGUACCUUGCGAGAAAGCCACGGCUAACUACGUGCCAGCCGCCGCGGUAAAAC
rnacentral:rRNA from 1 species